GACCUGCGGAAGGAUCAUUACCGAGUGUAGGGUUCCUAGCGAGCCCAACCUCCCACCCGUGUUUACUGUACCUUAGUUGCUUCGGCGGGCCCGCCAUUCAUGGCCGCCGGGGGCUCUCAGCCCCGGGCCCGCGCCCGCCGGAGACACCACGAACUCUGUCUGAUCUAGUGAAGUCUGAGUUGAUUGUAUCGCAAUCAGUUAAAACUUUCAACAAUGGAUCUCUUGGUUCCGGCAUCGAUGAAGAACGCAGCGAAAUGCGAUAACUAGUGUGAAUUGCAGAAUUCCGUGAAUCAUCGAGUCUUUGAACGCACAUUGCGCCCCCUGGUAUUCCGGGGGGCAUGCCUGUCCGAGCGUCAUUGCUGCCCAUCAAGCACGGCUUGUGUGUUGGGUCGUCGUCCCCUCUCCGGGGGGGACGGGCCCCAAAGGCAGCGGCGGCACCGCGUCCGAUCCUCGAGCGUAUGGGGCUUUGUCACCCGCUCUGUAGGCCCGGCCGGCGCUUGCCGAACGCAAAUCAAUCUUUUUCCAGGUUGACCUCGGAUCAGGUAGGGAUACCCGCUGAACUUAAGCAUAUCAAAAGCCCGGAGGAA
rnacentral:rRNA from 1 species